ACCACCACGGGAACUCCCCCCUGUCUAUUUCACUAGACUAUAAGCUCCUUGAGGACAUCUGUUUCUAGUCGCUACUGUUAGAUGUCUCCCUCCCCUCUCUCUUUUGUAACACAACCCCAAUUUGUUCAUACCCCCAUCCUCCUCCAGAGGACAUGUGUUCCAGUCCCAUCACAGAGGCAGGGGGUGGGUCCUGACAUUUCAGCAAUCCCAGUGGUCUCAAUUUCCUUACCAGUGACUGGCUAGGGCAUAGGCAUGUCACUCAAUUCUGGUCAGUGACAUAUGAGGAGAAGUCACCAAGAGAGCUUCUGGUAAAGGUUUCCUGAAUCUUUAGACAGACCAGGAAGAGAAGGGGUAGGGACAGGAGUAGUAGGACCCCGUUAUAGAUAAGGAAACUGAAGCGCAAAGAUGUCGUGUCAGACCUACGGUCAUGACCAUUGAGUGCAUGGCUGAGACCAGAGACCAGAGACCAGAGCCCAGUUCUGACUGACUCCAAGGCCUGUGCUCUUCUCUGGACCACAAUGUCUCCCAGGAAGGAGGCCAGCCUUUGGCACCACUGGGAAGCCAGAUCUCAGUUGACUUGUGACACAUGGCAUUUAGCCAGUUCCCAUGCCCUCCGACAUGUAAGGCCCUUCUUUAAGGAAUCAUAAAACUUAAGGAUUAUCGUAGGAACGAUUUCCUCAUAACUGUAGCUUCUUUUAUAUAUUAACAGUCAUAACAGUGAACUACACUCCAAGCCUGGCACAUAGGAGGAACACAAUGCAUGUCGACUCCCUUCCACCUCUUUCGGUAUCAUCUCUUCACAUGCAGGUUGAAGCCAGAAACUCUCAGUACACAAUGAACUGGGCCCCCCUGGCAGGAGGGCGCAGGAAUGGUACAGUUGGCUUUAAAAAGAUGACUAAAUUGCCCAACAAUGGCAAAUACGUAUAAUAAACCUAUCCUACGAAUGUUUUAUUUGGUUUUAAGGCCCUGCUGUGCUUGCAUCCUGCUACCCUCUUGAACAUGGGGGUCUUUACUGCUCACUCACACAGGGAAAAUUGGCAGACCCCUCUCCCCCACCCAGGGCUGCUUCUUGUGCCCUCUGCCCGAGGAUGGGGAUGUCACAAGAGCAAGGGAGCUGCACAAUGUGCAGAGAUUUAUGAAAAUACGCAUCUGAAAAAGGGAACGCUGUGCAGAGAGUGGUCGUGUGGGCAGGCCUGGUGCAUGGGAGCAAUUAGAGCAGGUUUGCAACAACUCAGUGCUGUUCUAUUCAAUUGCUUAAAGAAUUGCCAUAGCAACAGCAG
rnacentral:lncRNA from 1 species